AGUGAACGCUGGCGGUAGGCCUAACACAUGCAAGUCGAACGGCAGCACAGUAAGAGCUUGCUCUUACGGGUGGCGAGUGGCGGACGGGUGAGGAAUACAUCGGAAUCUACUUUUUCGUGGGGGAUAACGUAGGGAAACUUACGCUAAUACCGCAUACGACCUACGGGUGAAAGCAGGGGAUCUUCGGACCUUGCGCGAUUGAAUGAGCCGAUGUCGGAUUAGCUAGUUGGCGGGGUAAAGGCCCACCAAGGCGACGAUCCGUAGCUGGUCUGAGAGGAUGAUCAGCCACACUGGAACUGAGACACGGUCCAGACUCCUACGGGAGGCAGCAGUGGGGAAUAUUGGACAAUGGGAGCAAGCCUGAUCCAGCCAUACCGCGUGGGUGAAGAAGGCCUUCGGGUUGUAAAGCCCUUUUGUUGGGAAAGAAAAGCAGCAGGUUAAUACCCCGCUGUUCUGACGGUACCCAAAGAAUAAGCACCGGCUAACUUCAUG
rnacentral:rRNA from 1 species